UACGAAGGGGGCUAGCGUUGCUCGGAAUUACUGGGCGUAAAGCGCACGUAGGCGGCUUUCUAAGUCGGGGGUGAAAUCCUGGAGCUCAACUCCAGAACUGCCUUCGAUACUGGAGAGCUCGAGUCCGGGAGAGGUGAGUGGAACUGCGAGUGUAGAGGUGAAAUUCGUAGAUAUUCGGAAGAACACCAGUGGCGAAGGCGACUGACUGGACAGGUAUUGACGCUGAGGCACGAAAGCGUGGGGAGCAAACAGG
rnacentral:rRNA from 1 species